GGCAAGACAACUUUUUUUCGGUUUCCUUUGCGGUCAUCAAACUUUUUAGGGGAUGGGGGAAGGGAUGGGAAGCGGCUGGGAGGAAAGGGAGUGGCUGGACUUGUGUGAAGCGAAGGGGUUGCAAGACGCUCCCCCUUCCCUUUUCUUUUUUAUUGGGGGUGGUGGUAGUGUUUGAGGACAUUGCGUCACCUCUCUUCGGGGUGGAGGGGGGGAAUCUCUGCUUAUAGGAGUGUAUUUUGUGAGGAAGAAAACCCAUAAAAUAUCCACGACCUUGCAGCUGUUAAGAAUCCAGACUUUUCAGUCCCAGGGCGGGGCUGCCUUUCCCCCCAUCCCGCUCCCUUUCUUUGGACUAAAGGGAAAGCCUUCCUUUCCUGGGGAUGGGACGCCCGUUUCCACUGAAAGUGAAAUCACUGUGAACAACCUGAAAAUUGGAAAGUUGGACCAGCUGUGGGGAGAGAAAGGUCUUCGUGUCCUUUCCCACGUUCACCGUGCCAGUUACACACAAAGCAGAGAUUUUUUUGCUUGAAUCAUUAAAAGCCGGGUGGGUGGGGGGCACC
rnacentral:lncRNA from 1 species